GUGACAGUAUCGCAGAACCAGCAGAUGCUUUCAAAACCAGCGUGAAUCUUGUCGCUCGUGUGGACAACAGCAGAAUUUUACGUCUUUUUCAUGGCAGAUUGAAGGAUUUGUUGAGAAGUACAAGAAAAUGAAAGACAGGGCAGCUCUUUUGAAAGGCAGUUUACAUAAGAAAGUGAUGACCUUUGAAAGAUGGUGGUGUGUUUUAACAGAUGAACUUGAUCUCUGCAUUCAGAGAUCUGUGGAGAACAAGUCCUGUGAAGCCGAAAACUCACCUUAGAACAUAUAGGCUGCCCGCUGUGGCCGAGCGGUUCUAGGCGCUUCAGUCUGGAACCACGCAGCUGCUAUGGUCGCAGGUUCGAAUCCUGCCUCAGGCGUGGAUGUGUGUGAUGUCCUUAGGUUAGUUAGGUUUAAGUAGUUCUACGUCUAGGGGUCUGAUGACCUCAGAUGUCAAGUCCCAUAAUGCUUAGAGCCAUUUGAACCAUUUUUGAACAUGCAGUUAGCAGUUCAUUGUGAAGUAAAUUUGCGGAUUUGUUCCACAAACUUGAACCAUUUAGUUACGUAAAAGGCGUCAGUAAGGUCACAAAAUAUACCAGGAGGAUUAUUUUGGUUGUUUUUAGUUCUGCUAGGUUUUCAUUCAUAAGGGUAUAUGGUGGCUGCUACAUGUGAAACUCAAAAGUAUUUAGCAAAUUUUGUUUGAGUUAAGGACUGAUUAUGAAUACGGUUCAAGGUUAAUUGUAUCAACCUUUCACAAGAUUUUACUAAUCUGCUAGAAACACUGUCAUGGUAAAAUAUUGCUGCUUUUAGCAACUUUUAAUUCCCUUUGGUCUUGCAUAUUUGAUAUUAACGACGUUUGGUGAUGUAAAAAGUAUUGAAUUAUCAAUUUCAGGGCUGAAAUGCCACAAUUAUUAAAAUAUUUCUGGCUAUUAUUCUGUGGUUUUUCCUGAUUUCUUUGAUGACUUGUGGCAUAUAAGUUCUUGUAUUCCAUUUGGAACUAAUUAAAGAAUAGAAACUCCAGGUAGGAAUAUCAACAAUUUAGGAAAAGGUAGAUUGCUACUCACUGUAAAGGAGACACGUUAAGUUGCAGACAGGCAUAAUUAAUAUGCAAGUUAAUGUGUCUUCUUUAUGGUAAGUAGCAAUUUGUUUUUUUCUGCAGCAUUAAUUGUUUGUAGAAUGCAAAGGUUACAAUAUUUACACUGUAACCAAAGGAGUAAGCGACCGUUUUCUUCAAAGUGAAAGUGCUUUGCAAACAAACAAGUUCUGUUACUUUUGGUUCUUCUUGGAACACUCAAAUGGCUUAUUGUUGUUCAGUUUUCAACUCUUGUACCAAAGUCAUAAUAAAGUUUUAAAAUGAUGACACUGCCACCAUCUGCCUGUGUGUUUUUUUAUUAUUUCCCAAAUUUAGGCUUUUGAGCCAUUACCAAAUGCAACUGGGAAAAAUAUUAGUACAUGUUAGCCAUUUCGUGCUGCCUGGUUUAUCUUUACAGGUCUCAAUGAAAUGUUUUGUUAGUGAUAUGUUUGUCAGAUAUGCUUGACAUGUACUGAUCUCUUUCCCAGUUGCAAUUAAUAAUGGCACGAAAAAAGAAAUAAUAAAAAAGAACAUGUAGGCAAAUGGCGAUAGUGCUACUGUUAGUGUUACGUGUCAUUUAGAAUGGAAAAUGCCAAUGUACAUCUCUUAGGCUCUGCAAGAGAUGAAAAUAUCCAUGUGAAUAAAGAGAAAAGUUUUAAAUUAAGGAAGAAUGAUUGAGAGCUGUAGACUGCCGCUAGGCUUUCUGUUUGUGCAGAGCUGCCCGUCUGGUGGAAGUGGAUAGUCAGCGCAUGUCUCCAUCUGCUGUAGUGGGCGUAUGUUGUUCUGUGCAGCCACAAGUGGAAAGUGUCAUGAGAAAUGUUCAUGGAGAAGACAUUUACCACACUUCAUUAAAAACAGAUUUGCUUGUGGAUUCCCUAAAGACUGGGAACUGUUAAGAAGAAAGUGGAUCAUGUUUUUAAAAGCAGGAGAACCACAAGAUUUUCAGUGGAAGGGAAAUGACAAUGCAGCUAUUUUAGACAGCUGUUCCUCCUCCCAAAAGCCCCUGGACAAUCAUCACAAGAAAGUAGUUGUGAGGAAUUCAGAAACAAAACUCAAAAGAGGAAUUCUCUAUUUUCACCCUUACCUGCCAACAAUAAGUUCACAGAUACAGUUCAUGGACUUGGUUCUAAUAAUGCUAUAAAUAAAAAAUGUGAUACUAAAAGUACUGGAAAUCAGCCACGUUUAGAAGAAGAAAGAACUAAUUGUAAUUGUGUAAUCCCAAAAAGAAAUAAACCAGAAUGUAGCAACACAGCUACAACUACAA